GUUGGUUUUCAGGGCAGGGUGUGAUUCCCGACCGGCGGUAUAGUCCGCGACCCAGCAUUUUGCUGGCCGACUGGGUUUGAUUCCCAGACCGAUAGUUAAAGUCUAGAUGAAAGAAAACAGAG
rnacentral:ncRNA from 2 species